rnacentral:rRNA from 1 species
UACGGGGGGGGCAAGCGUUGUUCGGAAUUACUGGGCGUAAAGGGUGCGUAGGCGGUCUGUUAAGUUGGAUGUGAAAACUCUGGGCUCAACCCAGAGCCUGCAUCCAAAACUGGCAGGCUAGAGUUCUGGAGGGGGUAGCGGAAUUCCUGGUGUAGCGGUGAAAUUCGUAGAUAUCGGGAGGAACACCGGUGGCGAAGGCGGCGACCUGGGUAGAUACUGACGCUGAGGUGCGAAAGCGUGGGGAGCAAACAGG